GUGCUUGCUUAGACAGCACAUAUACUAAAACUGGAAUAGUUCAGAAAAGAUUAGCAUGGCUCCUGUGCAAAUCUGUGAAGUGUUCCACAUUUUU
rnacentral:snRNA from 1 species